rnacentral:rRNA from 1 species
AGAGUUUGAUCCUGGCUCAGGACGAACGCUGGCGGCGUGCCUAAUACAUGCAAGUCGAGCGGACAGAAGGGAGCUUGCUCCCGGAUGUUAGCGGCGGACGGGUGAGUAACACGUGGGUAACCUGCCUGUAAGACUGGGAUAACUCCGGGAAACCGGAGCUAAUACCGGAUAGUUCCUUGAACCGCAUGGUUCAAGGAUGAAAGACGGUUUCGGCUGUCACUUGCAGAUGGACCCGCGGCGCAUUAGCUAGUUGGUGGGGUAAUGGCUCACCAAGGCGACGAUGCGUAGCCGACCUGAGAGGGUGAUCGGCCACACUGGGACUGAGACACGGCCCAGACUCCUACGGGAGGCAGCAGUAGGGAAUCUUCCGCAAUGGACGAAAGUCUGACGGAGCAACGCCGCGUGAGUGAUGAAGGUUUUCGGAUCGUAAAGCUCUGUUGUUAGGGAAGAACAAGUGCGAGAGUAACUGCUCGCACCUUGACGGUACCUAACCAGAAAGCCACGGCUAACUACGUGCCAGCAGCCGCGGUAAUACGUAGGUGGCAAGCGUUGUCCGGAAUUAUUGGGCGUAAAGGGCUCGCAGGCGGUUUCUUAAGUCUGAUGUGAAAGCCCCCGGCUCAACCGGGGAGGGUCAUUGGAAACUGGGAAACUUGAGUGCAGAAGAGGAGAGUGGAAUUCCACGUGUAGCGGUGAAAUGCGUAGAGAUGUGGAGGAACACCAGUGGCGAAGGCGACUCUCUGGUCUGUAACUGACGCUGAGGAGCGAAAGCGUGGGGAGCGAACAGGAUUAGAUACCCUGGUAGUCCACGCCGUAAACGAUGAGUGCUAAGUGUUAGGGGGUUUCCGCCCCUUAGUGCUGCAGCUAACGCAUUAAGCACUCCGCCUGGGGAGUACGGUCGCAAGACUGAAACUCAAAGGAAUUGACGGGGGCCCGCACAAGCGGUGGUGCAUGUGGUUUAAUUCGAAGCAACGCGAAGAACCUUACCAGGUCUUGACAUCCUCUGACAACCCUAGAGAUAGGGCUUUCCCUUCGGGGACAGAGUGACAGGUGGUGCAUGGUUGUCGUCAGCUCGUGUCGUGAGAUGUUGGGUUAAGUCCCGCAACGAGCGCAACCCUUGAUCUUAGUUGCCAGCAUUCAGUUGGGCACUCUAAGGUGACUGCCGGUGACAAACCGGAGGAAGGUGGGGAUGACGUCAAAUCAUCAUGCCCCUUAUGACCUGGGCUACACACGUGCUACAAUGGACAGAACAAAGGGCUGCAAGACCGCAAGGUUUAGCCAAUCCCAUAAAUCUGUUCUCAGUUCGGAUCGCAGUCUGCAACUCGACUGCGUGAAGCUGGAAUCGCUAGUAAUCGCGGAUCAGCAUGCCGCGGUGAAUACGUUCCCGGGCCUUGUACACACCGCCCGUCACACCACGAGAGUUUGCAACACCCGAAGUCGGUGAGGUAACCUUUAUGGAGCCAGCCGCCGAAGGUGGGGCAGAUGAUUGGGGUGAAGUCGUAACAAGGUAGCCGU